GGACCUAUAGCUCAGCUGGUUAGAGCGCACGCCUGAUAAGCGUGAGGUCGAUGGUUCGAGUCCAUUUAGGCCCA
rnacentral:tRNA from 1 species